rnacentral:rRNA from 1 species
GAGUUUGAUCCUGGCUCAGGAUGAACGCUAGCGGCAGGCCUAAUACAUGCAAGUCGAGGGGUAUAGGAGGCUUGCUUCCUAGAGACCGGCGCACGGGUGCGUAACGCGUAUGCAACCUACCCUUUUCUGGGGGAUAGCCCGAAGAAAUUCGGAUUAAUACCGCAUAAGACCACGAUACGGCAUCGUAAUGGGGUCAAACAUUUAUGGGAGAAGGAUGGGCAUGCGUGCCAUUAGCUAGUUGGCGGGGUAACGGCCCACCAAGGCGACGAUGGCUAGGGGAUCUGAGAGGAUGACCCCCCACACUGGUACUGAGACACGGACCAGACUCCUACGGGAGGCAGCAGUAAGGAAUAUUGGUCAAUGGGGGGCAACCCUGAACCAGCCAUGCCGCGUGCAGGAAGACGGCCCUCUGGGUUGUAAACUGCUUUUAUUCGGGAAUAAACCUACCUACGUGUAGAUAGCUGAAUGUACCGAAGGAAUAAGGAUCGGCUAACUCCGUG